rnacentral:rRNA from 1 species
UACGAAGGGGGCUAGCGUUGCUCGGAAUCACUGGGCGUAAGCGCACGUAGGCGGAUUGUUAAGUCAGGGUGAAAUCCUGGAGCUCAACUCCAGAACUGCCUUUGAUACUGGCGAUCUUGAGUCCGGGAGAGGUGAGUGGAACUGCGAGUGUAGAGGUGAAAUUCGUAGAUAUUCGGCAAGAACACCAGUGGCGAAGGCGGCUCACUGGCCCGGUACUGACGCUGAGGUGCGAAAGCGUGGGAGCAACAGG